rnacentral:rRNA from 1 species
CCCUUAGAUGUUCUGGGCCGCACACGCGCUACACUGAAGGAGGCAGCGUGUACUCCUGGAUCGAAAGAUUUGGGUAACCCGCGAAUCUCCUUCGUGCUAGGGAUUGAGGUUUGCAAUUUUCCGUCUUAAACGAGGAAUUCCUAGUAAACGCAAGUCAUCAACUUGCAUUGAUUACGUCCCUGCCCUUUGUACACACCGCCCGUCGCUACUACCGAUUGAAUGGCUUAGUGAGUUGUCCGGAUUGUGGUCUUCCGUUGGGUUACCUCCGGGAGAUUCGCGAAAAGGAUAUCAAACUUGGUCAUUUAGAGGAAGUAAAAGUCGUAACA